rnacentral:piRNA from 1 species
UGAGAGUCAGAUGUGGAGGAAGCCAAAGA